UACGAAGGGUGCAAGCGUUACUCGGAAUUACUGGGCGUAAAGCGUGCGCAGGCGGUUUUGUAAGUCAGAUGUGAAAUCCCCGGGCUCAACCUGGGAACUGCGUUUGAAACUACAAGGCUAGAGUGUAGCAGAGGGGGGUGGAAUUCCGCGUGUAGCAGUGAAAUGCGUAGAUAUGCGGAGGAACACCGAUGGCGAAGGCAAUCCCCUGGGCCUGCACUGACGCUCAUGCACGAAAGCGUGGGGAGCAAACAGG
rnacentral:rRNA from 1 species